rnacentral:rRNA from 1 species
GAUGAACGCUGGCGGCAUGCCUAACACAUGCAAGUCGAUCGGUAAGGCUCUUCGGAGUACACGAGAGGCGGACGGCUGAGUAACGCGUAGGAACACACCCUGCAGUGAGGGAUAAGACACCGAAAGGUGUUCUAAUACCGCAUACGGUCUUCGGAUUAAAGCAUUUAUGCGCUGAAGGAGUGGCCUGCGUCAUAUUAGAUAGUUGGUGAGGUAAUGGCUCACCAAGUCGAUGAUGUGUAGCUGGUCUGAGAGGAUGAUCAGCCAGACUGGAACUGAGACACGGUCCAGACUCCUACGGGAGGCAGCAGUGAGGAAUAUUUCACAAUGAGCGAAAGCUUGAUGGAGCAAUGCCGCGUGCAGGAUGAAGGCCCUCGGGUUGUAAACUGCUUUUAUAAGAGAAGAUUAUGACGGUAACUUAUGAAUAUGGGACGGCUAACUACGUG